CUGUUAAAGGUCGGAGCUAAACUCCGGUAGAGCAGUGGAAACUGGUGCGCUAGAGGGCGACGGGGGUAGAGGGAAUUCCCAGUGUAGCGGUGAAAUGCGUAGAGAUUGGGAAGAACACCGGUGGCGAAAGCGCUCUACUGGGUCGCACCUGACCCUCAGGGACGAAAGCUAAGGUAGCGAAAGGGAUUAGAUACCCCUGUAGUCUUAGCCGUAAACGAUGGAUACUAGGCGUGGUUUGUAUCGACCCAAGCCGUGCCGAAGCUAACGCGUUAAGUAUCCCGCCUGGGGAGUACGCACGCAAGUGUGAAACUCAAAGGAAUUGACGGGGGCCCGCACAAGCGGUGGAGGAUGUGGUUUAAUUCGAUGCAACGCGAAGAACCUUACCAGGGCUUGACAUCCCGCGAAUCUCUCUGAAAGGAGAGAGUGCCUACGGGAACGCGGAGACAGGUGGUGCAUGGCUGUCGUCAGCUCGUGUCGUGAGAUGUUGGGUUAAGUCCCGCAACGAGCGCAACCCUCGUCCUUAGUUGCCAGCAUUAGGUUGGGCACUCUAGGGAGACUGCCGGUGACAAACCGGAGGAAGGUGAGGAUGACGUCAAGUCAGCAUGCCCCUUAUGCUCUGGGCAACACACGUCCUACAAUGGUCGGGACAAAGGGGAGCAAGCUCGCGAGAGUAAGCGAAUCCCAGCAAACUCGGCCUCAGUUCAGAUAGCAGGCUGCAACUCGCCUGCUUGAAGGAGGAAUCGCUAGUA
rnacentral:rRNA from 1 species